AGUGAACGCUGGCGGUAGGCCUAACACAUGCAAGUCGAACGGCAGCACAGUAAGAGCUUGCUCUUACGGGUGGCGAGUGGCGGACGGGUGAGGAAUACAUCGGAAUCUACUUUUUCGUGGGGGGUAACGUAGGGAAACUCACGCUAAUACCGCAUACGACCUACGGGUGAAAGCAGGGGAUCUUCGGACCUUGCGCGAUUGAAUGAGCCGAUGUCGGAUUAGCUAGUUGGCGGGGUAAAGGCCCACCAAGGCGACGAUCCGUAGCUGGUCUGAGAGGAUGAUCAGCCACACUGGAACUGAGACACGGUCCAGACUCCUACGGGAGGCAGCAGUGGGGAAUAUUGGACAAUGGGCGCAAGCCUGAUCCAGCCAUACCGCGUGGGUGAAGAAGGCCUUCGGGUUGUAAAGCCCUUUUGUUGGGAAAGAAAAGCAGCAGGUUAAUACCCCGCUGUUCUGACGGUACCCAAAGAAUAAGCACCGGCUAACUUCGUG
rnacentral:rRNA from 1 species